AUGAUUUUAUUUUGUCUCUUUUGUUUUAAUAAUACAUAUGUGAUUAUGGGCCAUUAUUUGGAAAAUGUGUGUCUUUAGUGUUUUUAACAGGUUUUGUGACAUUUUUCUCAAUAUGGAAGACAUACUUAAAGAAAAUUUAGCUUAAAAUUGCAUUUCUGGGUGUUUCUUUACUGAUUUUGUUGUGAAUCAGAAGCAGAUAAAAAAAAUUGCAGCUUUUCUUCUUCAGAAUCUACUGGAAUUAUCCUGUUCACGGUUGAAAAAUGAUAGUAUGUUGAAGAUUUAGUGAUUGACGGCUGUAAGCUAGUGCCCAUGUAAACAGAUGAAUGAUGGGAAGUGGGGAUGGGAUUACUCUGCACCAACAGUCCCACCCAUAACUCAGACGUGAAUUUCUAAUGAACUGAUGCCGCUCUGCAGAAACUAUGUCCCAAAAAACAACACAAAUGUUUGAUUUUGGCUAAAACGGCCUAAUAAUAAACCUCUUGGAAUUAGCUAAUAAAAUGUGUUACUGCGAUAUUUACGUAUUUAAUUAAUGAGUGUUUUCCUCGUGUCCUUCUGUGAAACUUUUUGAUUCAUCAAGUUGGAAUAUUUUAUCACAUUGACCCAGUUAAUUGUAUUGUGUCUGACAGGGGUAGUAAAUCAUGGUGGAAGAUGCAUUCCCGCUGGACUCCACUGUCUGGACUUCACACACCGGCUUCCUGAGCCUCAGUGUGUCCUACUGCACGUGCUCAGCUCCACAUCACACUCACGGUCACGUAAGAGGGGGCUUCCGAGAACACAUCCAGGCUGAGGAAAGUGAUGAGGAUGUUAUUUGCCCAUAGCUCGGCUCUGCCCCAAAUAUCACACACAAUGUCAAGAGAUCCACGUGAGUCCUUGAAAUACAAGUCAGGCUUCGCCGACUUGUUGACCACAGACGGUGGGCCUGAGAAUCCCUUCACUUCACGACAAGGAGAGUUAUUACUUUCUAGAAAUAAUUUCCAGUAGCUCUGAUUUCCAAUGCAGGGCUGGGCACUGUGCAAUUUUAAUGAGCUCUGAUGCUGUUUUGGGACAAGUCUGCUCUGAAAUCCCCCCUGGACUUAAGGGUGAGUAAGAGCAUGUGUGUGCUCGGGUCGUACCAACCAAAGAGUGUGGGUAUGGAGUUGUAAAAUCCCAGAGUGGCUUGGGCUCACGUGAGUCUUACUGGAGAGCAGGACUUGAGCCAUGGGGGAGGGGUAAUGAGUGAAUGAACGCCUCAUUGUAUCAUUCCGGUACUUUCUUGGUGGACAUGAAAGCCAGAAGACACCCUUAACUUGCUAAACCUUUUAACAGGAUGCAGACCCGCAAUUAAAAUCCACACAGCAGGGGGAUAACAGGGCCAGUAAGUUCAUUAUGUGUAAUCCUAUUGAUGCACAGGCUUGUAUGCACACACGUGCUAGUUGCAUCCUCUGGAGGAGCGAAAAAGGCCAACAUUUUACUUUUAGUAUUUUAGCUUGUAUAAUAGUUGCCAACAAAUGCAAAAUUCAAAAUGCCCCAUGGGACCUUUUAAUCCAUCCAUUGUAGCUAGAGUCAAAAGAAAAGUUGGCAUCGUAAAAAUCUUGUGGUUAAAAAAAAAAAA